AUGUUAUCAGCGACUGUAGCAGUCAUGUCAUGUGAUCCAUUUGUGUUAGCCGAGCCUUCCAGAAGCCAUCCAUAUCAUGUGAUGAAUACUAUUGCCAAGCAAGUUUUACCUCAUAUUUUUCAUGAUCAAUCCAUUGCUAUUGCUAUGUUGGUGCUUAAAGAUUCAGACAUGAAUGAAGAAAGCCAGCACAGUAGCACAGUAGCAGCAAGAAUGCAAGAUGCUCAUGAGACCCAGCGAGCAUCUUCUUUUCUUUUUUCUUUUCAAUCAAUCUGUCAAUCUCCUCCUUUCCGGAGACAAAUCAGUUUGGAACUUACUACAAGUGAAAAAACGAAAGCUUUCGCGAAAAACAAAAGUGAAAAAACGAAAGAUGCAGGCCGCCAAAGAGCUCACUAA
rnacentral:rRNA from 1 species